UGAAAACUCGGCAUUACACCGGUAAGCAAACUGAGGCGAACGUGGAAAUUCCUUAAACCUGCAUUCUGUCGAACAGCCAGCAGGGGCCAACGCUUCUGGUUGCAAAAAGAAGUCCAGUUCCAUUAUAAAUAAUGAGAUAAGAGAAGGGAGCGGCUACAGUUGGCCAGGGAUGAAUAGAGUGACGAGAAUGGGACUACAGCUUCAUUGUCUGUACUGAGAUGUCCAAGACGACACCACUUACGAACAAGGGUACCGGUGGGCAGAUAUGUUCUGCCGAACAAAUGUAAUCAGAAGGGUGGUCUGGGUAGGAUGCCAGUCACAAAGAGCAAUGGCUCAUUGCAGAUUCUACAGGCGAGAUGAACUGGAUCGCUGCAAGAAAGACGACUGAAGGACAUAAGGUGUACUCUCCCCACAUCCUCUCUCUGUCUCCCUCCCUCUGUCUGCUUUUUCUGAGAUUGCAGGAGUACAGACAUCACAUUUCCUGACUUUUUCCAUUUUCAAAGAGUGUCCACUUAUACUGAUAACAAUGCAGUGGAGGGCACAAUACUGCAGUGGUCAAACCUCUGAUUUUGACUACAUCAGAACAUUCAGGGCUGUAGAGAGCUGGCGGUGAGCGAUGGUGAGGAAGAGAAAGGUACAAAGUUCAUCAAAAUUUGACACCACACAUCGCUGCACAGACUUCAGGGACAGUGUGAAACUAUUUUGUGACAUCUCAAAUCCUCUCUCCCCCUUUGUUCUCUGUUCUCUCCUCCUCUCAUCUUUAUGUCUUGUUUCUCCCCUGCUGUCUUGUCUUUCGGCGCAUUUCCUCGGUGUCUUCACUUUGAACCCAACAGCAUUAACCUGUCAGGGAAGUUACAAAU